rnacentral:lncRNA from 1 species
GAACAAAAUCCUUAGUGCAUUACCAAGUAUAUAUUAAGGUUACACACACAAAAAUAGACAUUCUUCUUAAUAACUCCCAGAGAAUCUGACAUUGUCUACAUCACAAGAACCAACAUUCUAUUCCAGGACUGAACAUCUCCAAGCUGUGUAGUAUUUUACAUUCCUAAGCAUUCAUUGCAUCCCCAUACAGAUGGCAUUUGAAGCUAUUGGAGAACAAAGGAAAGAGGGCAGACCAGUGUUAGCACUAUCAGCUAUC